CAAAGGCAUGGUCCUGACCUUAUUAUCAGCUCUAACCCAGCUUACACAUGCAAGUCUCCGCAGUCCCGUGAAUAUGCCCUCAGUCCCCCGCCCGGGAACAAGGAGCGGGCAUCAGGCACAAAUUUUAGCCCAAGACGCCUAGCCAAGCCACACCCCCAAGGGAAUUCAGCAGUGAUAAACAUUAAGCCAUAAGUGAAAACUUGACUCAGCCAGGGCUAAGAGGGCCGGUAAAACUCGUGCCAGCCACCGCGGUUAAACGAGAGGCCCUAGUUGAUAAUAUUACGGCGUAAAGGGUGGUUAAGGAGGAAAUUAAUAAUAAGGCCAAAUGGCCCCUUGGCCGUCAUACGCUUCUAGGUGUCCGAAGCCCAACCCACGAAAGUAGCUUUAGCAUAACCCACCUGACCCCACGAAAGCUGAGAAACAAACUGGGAUUAGAUACCCCACUAUGCUCAGCCAUAAACCCCGACCUCAAACUACAAUUACAAGUCCGCCAGGGUACUACGAGCAUUAGCUUGAAACCCAAAGGACCUGACGGUGCCUUAGACCCCCCUAGAGGAGCCUGUUCUAGAACCGAUAACCCCCGUUAAACCUCACCACUUCUAGCCAUCCCAGCCUAUAUACCGCCGUCGCCAGCUUACCCUGUGAAGGCAAUAAAAGUAAGCAAAAUGGGCACAACCCAGAACGUCAGGUCGAGGUGUAGCGUACGAAGCGGAAAGAAAUGGGCUACAUUUUCUAUUACAGAACACUACGAACAUGCAACAUGAAAUAGUGCUUGAAGGAGGAUUUAGUAGUAAAAAGGAAGCAGAGUGUCCUUUUGAACCCGGCUCUAAGACGCGUACACACCGCCCGUCACUCUCCCCUGUCAAAACGCAUUAAAAAUAUAUAAUACUCAAGCACUGACAAGGGGAGGCAAGUCGUAACAUGGUAAGUGUACCGGAAGGUGCACUUGGAUUAAACC
rnacentral:ncRNA from 1 species